rnacentral:lncRNA from 1 species
ACACGUGGUAUUUGUGACAGUGACAUUGACAUUUGAUAGACGUCAAGUUUUAUUUUUGUUUGUAUAAAAAUAGAAAUGGAAUAUUUAUAUUGUUUGUAUGUUAUUAUUAUUUAAUUUCUACAAAAUGGUAAUGUGUUAAGUACCCGAAUGGUUAUCAUUGAUAUUGAAAUCUGCAGAACGGAGUAAAACUACUCAUUUAUGUUCCUGGUUGCUGCUACUUUUAUAAAGGAGAUAAAGAAAAUCUUCUCACCAUAUUUUCAAAUAGGACUGGUGAAGAUGCUAAAGAAAUGCAGUAGUACUAUCUUGUGUGUAAAUCCUUGAUUUUGUGUAAUUUAUAAAAUUGAAAGCAAUAUGAUAAAUAUGACUAAUAAGGAUUGUGUCUUUAUAAAAAAAUAUAUCACAGUAUGCAAACUACAAGUACGAGCAUUAAAUCUCAGAAAUGUUUACCACUGUUUUUUUGGUUUUAUUCCAUGGAUUUAAUGGAUUGUAGAUGUAGACCCUCUACAUCUUCAUUACCACUUGAAAGUCAACCAGAAUCAUCUCAUUCAAGUGGUAUCACAUCAAGUAGUGCACAACAAGACACAGAAAUGUAUUUUCUUAAAUAAGAGAAUACUCAGC